AAGAUCAUACAGACAACAGCUCUUUCACCCGAAAGGUGACGAGCUAACUCUCUCUUCUUACAGAGACCUUACCCACUGUUGCAGUAGUGGCAAAAAAGGGAGAGUUAGAAGUUAAAUGCUUAUCGUGUUACCUUAUAGCUGGUUUUCAGGGAAAGAGGUAUAAGCCUCUCUAUCCUACGCCAGAAAUCCUUGUCCAUCGGAAACAAAUAAAGGACCCCGCAGAGAAUAGAAAGAGAGUAGGAGACAAGUUCCACUCUCAAAAGGGAAACAACCCAGAGUGUAAAAAAAGUCAAACAAGGAAAGGAUUUAUCUAUUUUAAGACCUUACUGUAGGCCUAACAGCUGCCAACAGCCAAGAAAGCGUUAAAGCUCAAAAUUUACCCUAAUCCAAUGAUUCCUGAAAAUAGUACUUAUUUUCUCUAAAAUUACCUGAAAGAAAUAAUGUUAGAACAAGUAAGAAGAAAUAAAAACCUCCUUUUGCAAAGAAUAAAUAACAGAUAAGAACAAAUCAAGAAGUUCUCAACAAGUGUUCUAUCAACUCAGACCCAAAGAAAGGAAGGAAAAAUGGUAGGAAAGGAACUCGGCAAACAUAUAAGAGGACUGUUUACCAAAAACAUAGCUCUCCGAAAAUAUGGAGGGUCACGCCUGCCCAGUGGUUUAGACUAAACGGCCGCGGUACCUUGACCGUGCAAAGGUAGCAUAAUCAUUUGUCUCUUAAAUGGGGACUUGUAUGAACGGCAAAACCUCUUCUAACUGUCUCUCCUAUCCUCCUCCUAAACUUCUAUCAGCGUGAAGAAACGCUGAUAUAUCAGAAAGACGAGAAGACCCUGUCGAGCUUAAGUCUAAAAAGAGAAGGUAUAUGCUUACAGCAGAAAGUUAAUAUCUUAUGAAGACUUUGGUUGGGGCAACCAUGGAGAACAACUUAACCUCCAGAGCGAACAGAAGAACUUCACCUCUCUGUUUUUAAACCUAGAGAACCAGAAACUGGAAAUCGGAAAAAGUUACCGCAGGGAUAACAGCGUUAUCUUCUCUGAGAGUCCUUAUUGACGAGAAGGCUUGCGACCUCGAUGUUGGAUUGGGGGCCCCUUAGGGUGCAGAAGCUCUAAAUGGUUGGACUGUUCGUCCAUUAAAGCCCU
rnacentral:rRNA from 1 species